UACGUAGGCACCAAGCGUUGUCCGGAUUUAUUGGGCGUAAAGAGCUCGUAGGCGGUUCAGUAAGUCAGGUGUGAAAUCUUUGGGCUUAACCCAAGGCGUGCACUUGAUACUGCUGUGACUUGAGUUCGGUAGGGGAGUGGGGAAUUCCUAGUGUAGCGGUGAAAUGCGCAGAUAUUAGGAGGAACACCGGUGGCGAAGGCGCCACUCUGGGCCGAAACUGACGCUGAGGAGCGAAAGCGUGGGUAGCAAACAGG
rnacentral:rRNA from 1 species